AGAUUUUCUGUCCUGGGACACUCGGCUAACCAUCAAGAAAGAACACACUCCAGUGGGCAUCCUUUAUCCAUCCAGACCCUCAUACAGAUGGUUGGAGUUUUGAUUCACCUAAAGUACCAUGCAAGAGCACUCAUUUUCCCUCUUGAGACCAUGGUGUGACCUGCAAGGUCGAAUGGAGACUGUAAGCGAGACAAUCUUGGAGUCACCUGCAUUGACUGGUCCAGUUGUUAGUCUAAUUACAGAUGGAGAUUAUAGAAGAGGAUGAUGUCUUUUCUCCAACAUCUUUCUAGACUGAUAAAAGAUCUAGACAGGCUUGAACAAAAGUUAACAGAGGGGCUUAUAUAGAGAAUGGUGAGCAGCUACACAUAAAAGAAGAACAUGGAGAAUCUGCCCAGAGGUGUUAACCAGCAAUGCAGCUAUACAACUAAAUUGAUGCAGGCGGAAACAAUGUGUGUAUGUUAUGUCCAAAUGUUGUUAUGUUCAAAUGUUUUACAAUAUACUUAAACAGGUGGACCUGUCAAUAUUGCAUUAGUCAAGUACAACUGAGUAGGUUAAGUUUACAUAUCAACGUCAAUAAAUAUAUAAAAAUAAAUAUCAGUCUUGACAGCAAACAUAAUAAUGUUAAAUAAAAUAAUAAUUACAGCUUUUUAAGAAAUUUACACGGGCUCAAACUAUCAGUGAAAUUAACUAUCAAAAACCUAAAAUAACCACAGACACGUGAAUAAAAUAUCUAACGUGAACUAGCUAGUUACUGUACAUACAUUGCUAAUUAUCAACGAAAUUUCUAGUUAACUGAUCCCACACCCAGCAUUAUUAAAAUGUAUUAUUACUACAUACCUUAAACAAAUGUCCCCUUAAAUCGCCAGACCAGGACAGGUUUCUUUCUU